GAUGAACGCUGGCGGCGUGCCUAAUACAUGCAAGUCGAGCGAACGGACGAGAAGCUUGCCUCUCUGAUGUUAGCGGCGGACGGGUGAGUAACACGUGGAUAACCUACCUAUAAGACUGGGAUAACUUCGGGAAACCGGAGCUAAUACCGGAUAAUAUUUUGAACCGCAUGGUUCAAAAGUAAAAGACGGUCUUGCUGUCACUUAUAGAUGGAUCCGCGCUGCAUUAGCUAGUUGGUAAGGUAACGGCUUACCAAGGCAACGAUGCAUAGCCGACCUGAGAGGGUGAUCGGCCACACUGGAACUGAGACACGGUCCAGACUCCUACGGGAGGCAGCAGUAGGGAAUCUUCCGCAAUGGGCGAAAGCCUGACGGAGCAACGCCGCGUGAGUGAUGAAGGUCUUCGGAUCGUAAAACUCUGUUAUUAGGGAAGAACAUAUGUGUAAGUAACUGUGCACAUCUUGACGGUACCUAAUCAGAAAGCCACGGCUAACUACGUG
rnacentral:rRNA from 1 species